UUAACGGCCCUCUUUAGGGCCACAAUCCCCCCAUAUAUAAAAGAGG
rfam:Heligmosomoides polygyrus genome assembly, scaffold: HPBE_scaffold0000791